rnacentral:rRNA from 1 species
GAUGAACGCUGGCGGCGUGCCUAAUACAUGCAAGUCGAGCGAACAGACGAGGAGCUUGCUCCUCUGACGUUAGCGGCGGACGGGUGAGUAACACGUGGAUAACCUACCUAUAAGACUGGGAUAACUUCGGGAAACCGGAGCUAAUACCGGAUAAUAUAUUGAACCGCAGGGUUCAAUAGUGAAAGACGGCUUUGCUGUCACUUAUAGAUGGAUCCGCGCCGCAUUAGCUAGUUGGUAAGGUAACGGCUUACCAAGGCAACGAUGCGUAGCCGACCUGAGAGGGUGAUCGGCCACACUGGAACUGAGACACGGUCCAGACUCCUACGGGAGGCAGCAGUAGGGAAUCUUCCGCAAUGGGCGAAAGCCUGACGGAACAACGCCGCGUGAGUGAUGAAGGUCUUCGGAUCGUAAAACUCUGUUAUUAGGGAAGAACAAAUGUGUAAGUAACUAUGCACGUCUUGACGGUACCUAAUCAGAAAGCCACGGCUAACUACGUG